UACCUACCAGCCUGCCCAAAAUUUCCUCAACUGGAGUCAGUCCCUUGAGUGAUAUACCAAAGGUAGAGACAGGCACUGACUUUGGGAGACCAUGGAGGCUGGGGGUUGGCUGUGAAGGCAAGGGGCUCCCUAUGGCCUGGGGAAGGAAGCUCUCUGUCCCCAAGUCUUGACCCUUAAUUUCACUUACGUGUCUCGGUGGGAGGCCCACACAGGUUGGGAUUUAGGCCACCCAGACCCAUGCAGGCCACAAGACCCUGAUUUUCUACCAUCUAGAUCUUAAAAGGUAGAGGAGAUAAGUCCGAAGUUACUUUGGAAAGGAAAUAGCAGAACCCUUUCAAGCCCAUUCUUCUAGUAGGAUAUUAGAAGAUGAAGAGGCCUUGGCAGCAGCAGGUGUGAGCCCGAGCUUGUACAGUUCUCCGUCUCUGAGCCCUACAGCAGGGAGGACAGGAGCCAUGCAGAGAGAGCUGGAGGGGUGACUGUGAGGAUCAAGUGAACCAUUAGCAAUGACAGUUCUUCACAACUACCAGGUGUCCCUGUUCCCUGAGACACAGUAUUAAAAUUAAGCCAAGAAAUAACCCUACAAUGGCCUCUAAGAGUUCAAGUCAAAGGAAGAGUCUUACAUCUCUCACUUUAAAUAAAAAGCUAGAAAUGAUUCAGCUUAGUGAGGAAGGCAUGGCAAAAAGCCAAGACAGGCCAAAAGCUAGGCCUCUUACGCCAAAUAAUUAGGAAGCUGUGAAUGCAAAGGAAAAGUUCUUGAGUGAAAUAAAAAAUGCUACUCCAGAGAACACAUGAAUGAUAAGAAAGUGAAACAGCAUCAUUGCUGAUAGGGAGAAAGUUUAUUGGUCUGGAGAGAAAAUUAAGCCAGCCAUAUUUCCUUUAAACCAAAAUCUAAUCCAGAACAAGGCUCUAACUUCUUCAAUUCUGUGAACUCUGAGAGGUGAAAAAGCUGCAGAAGAAAAGUUUGAAGCCAGCAGGGGUUGGUUCAUGAGGUUUAUGGAAAGAAGCUGUCUCCAUUAAAUGAAAGUGCAAGGUGAAGAAGCAAGUGCCUAUGUAGAAUCUGUAGCAAGUUUAUCUAGAAGAUCUAGCUAAGAUAAUUUGUGAAGGUGGCUACAGUAACCAAUGAUUUUCAGUGUAAUGAAACAGUGUUCUAUUGGGAGAAAAUGCCAUCUAACACUUUCAUAGCUAGAGAGGAGAAGUCAAUGCCUGGCUUCCAAGCUUCAAAGGACAGGCUGGCUCUCUUGUUAGGGGCAAAUAGAGCUGGUGACUUUAAGUUGAAGCCAGUGCUCAUUUGUCAUUCUGAAAACCCUAAGGCCCUUAAGAAUUAUGCUAAAUCUACUCUGCCUGUGUUCUAUAAAUGGAACAAUAAAGCCUGGAUGACAGCACAUCUAUUUUCAACAUGGUUUACCAAAUAUUUUAAGCCCACUUUACUGAGAUCUACUACUCAAAAAAAGAAAGAUUCCUUUCAAAAUAUUACUGUUCAUUGACAAUGCUCCUAGUCACCUCCAAGUUCUGAUGAAGUAUACAGUGAGCUGAAUGUUGUUUUCUUGCCUACUAACACAACAUCCAUUCUGCAGCCCUUGGAUCGAGGGAUAAUUUCUACUUACAUGUCUUAUUAUUUAAGAAACACAUUUCAUAAGGCUAGAGCUGCCAUAGAUAGUGAUUCCUCUGAUGGAUCUAGGCAGGGUAAACUGAAAACCUUCUGGAAAAGAGUCACCAUUCUAGAUGCCAUUAGAAACAUUCAUGAGUUAUGGGAAGAGGUCAAAAUAUCAACAUUCACAGGAAUUUGGAAGAAGUUGAUUCCAACCCUCAUGGAUGACUUCAAGGAAUUGAACACUUCAAUAGAGAAAAUAACUGCAGAUGUGGUAGAAAUAACAAGAGAACUAGAAUUAGAAGUGGAUCAUGAAAAUGUGACUGAAAUGCAGCAAUCUCAUGACAAAACUUUAAUGGAUGAGGAAUUGCUGCUUAGGGAUGAGGAAAGAAAGUGGUUUAUUGAGAUCAAACCUAUUCCUGGUGAAUAUGCUGUGAAAAUUGUUGAAAUGAAAACAAAGGAUUUAGAUUACUACAUAAACUUAGUUGAUAAAGCUGAGGCAAGGUUUGAGAGGACUGAUUCUGAUUUUGAAAGAAGUUCUGCUAUAGCUAAAAUGCUGUCAAACAGCAUCAUGUGCUACAGAGAAAUUGUUUGUGAAAGGAAUAAUCAAUCGAUGUGGCAAACUUCACUGCUGUCUUAUUUUAAGAAGUUGCUACAGCUGCCCUAGCCCUCAGCAGCCACCACACUGGUCAGCAGCCAUCAACAUUGAGGCAGGACCCUCCACCAGCAAAAAGAGUGUGAUUCGCUGAAAAGCUCAGAUGACGGUUAGCAUUUUUUAGCAAUAAAGCAUUUUAAAAUUAAGAUUUAUAUAUUGUUUUUUUAGACAUAAUGCUAUUGCACACUUAAUAGACUAUAAUAUAUAAUAAAAACACAACUUUUGUAAGUAUUUGGAAACCAAAAAAUUCAUUGACUUGCUUUAGUGUGAUAUUUGCUUUAUUGUGGUGGUCUGGAACUGAACCUGUAAUAUCUCCAAGGUGUACCUGUAU